rnacentral:tRNA from 1 species
ACGUUUUUAGUUUAAUUGGAUAAAACACCAACCUUCUAAGUUGACUAGUGUAGGUUCAAGUCCUACAAAACGUA